CCUACGGGGGGCAGCAAUGGGGAAUAUUGGACAAUGGGGGCAACCCUGAUCCAGCCAUGUCGCGUGUGUGAAGAAGGCCCUCGGGUUGUAAAGCACUUUCAGUGAGGAAGAACGCCUGGUGGUUAAUACCCAUCAGGAAAGACAUCACUCACAGAAGAAGCACCGGCUAACUCCGUGCCAGCAGCCGCGGUAAUACGGAGGGUGCGAGCGUUAAUCGGAAUUACUGGGCGUAAAGCGCGCGUAGGUGGCUUGAUAAGCCGGUUGUGAAAGCCCCGGGCUCAACCUGGGAACGGCAUCCGGAACUGUCAAGCUAGAGUGCAGGAGAGGAAGGUAGAAUUCCCGGUGUAGCGGUGAAAUGCGUAGAGAUCGGGAGGAAUACCAGUGGCGAAGGCGGCCUUCUGGACUGACACUGACACUGAGGUGCGAAAGCGUGGGUAGCAAACAGGAUUAGAUACCCUAGUAGUC
rnacentral:rRNA from 1 species